rnacentral:rRNA from 1 species
CCUACGGGAGGCAGCAGUAGGGAAUUUUCGUCAAUGGGCGCAAGCCUGAACGAGCAAUGCCGCGUGAACGAGGAAGGUCUUCGGAUCGUAAAGUUCUGUUGAAGGGGAAAAAGAGCGGAGAGAGGAAAUGCUUUCUGAUUGAUAUUACCCUUCGAGGAAGUCACGGCUAACUACGUGCCAGCAGCCGCGGUAAUACGUAGGUGGCGAGCGUUAUCCGGAUUUAUUGGGUUUAAAGGGUGCGCAGGCGGAUUUUUAAGUCAGCGGUCAAAUCGUGGGGCUCAACCCCAUCCAGCCGUUGAAACUGGGGAUCUAGAGUGUGCGAGAGGUAUGCGGAAUGCGUGGUGUAGCGGUGAAAUGCAUAGAUAUCACGCAGAACCCCGAUUGCGAAGGCAGCAUACCGGUGCACAACUGACGCUCAGGCACGAAAGCGUGGGUAUCGAACAGGAUUAGAUACCCUUGUAGUC